AGUGAACGCUGGCGGUAGGCCUAACACAUGCAAGUCGAACGGCAGCACAGAGGAGCUUGCUCCUUGGGUGGCGAGUGGCGGACGGGUGAGGAAUACAUCGGAAUCUACUCUGUCGUGGGGGAUAACGUAGGGAAACUUACGCUAAUACCGCAUACGACCUACGGGUGAAAGCAGGGGAUCUUCGGACCUUGCGCGAUUGAAUGAGCCGAUGUCGGAUUAGCUAGUUGGCGGGGGAAAGGCCAACCAAGGCGACGAUCCGUAGCUGGUCUGAGAGGAUGAGCAGCCACACUGGAACUGAGACACGGUCCAGACUCCUACGGGAGGCAGCAGUGGGGAAUAUUGGACAAUGGGCGCAAGCCUGAUCCAGCCAUACCGCGUGGGUGAAGAAGGCCUUCGGGUUGUAAAGCCCUUUUGUUGGGAAAGAAAUCCAUCUGGUUAAUACCCGGGUGGGAUGACGGUACCCAAAGAAUAAGCACCGGCUAACUUCGUGCCAGCCGCCGCCGUAA
rnacentral:rRNA from 1 species